GGAAGAUCACUAGGCAUGUAAAUAUCUUGUUGCUAUUUGAUGCUUUCAGCGAACAAAGAUGCAAGUAGACUUCUUUAAAAUAACAUGUUUGUUUUACUCACAACUUCAUGUAUUUAAGUAUACAGGAAAUGUGGAAUAUCAAAGAACAAAGAUUAAGAUUGUUUAAAUGAAGCAAUGGAUUCAUAUCAAAAGAAAACUCAAGCAAUUCUAAGGAUAUUGCCUCUCUUCUUUGGUGACAUCAUAAGAUCUUCGCCAAUUUGAUCCAAUUGGAACCAGCUCCAUAUUCAUACCGCUAGACUGUGGAUUUACUGAGCCCGACAGAACAGAUGUGAGUGCCUGCAGUCUAUCAAGAAGCAGACAGGCAGAGAAGGAGCGCAGUUUGACUUCUAGUACCCAGCUGGAAACUACGAUGUUCAUCAGUCUCUCAAUUUCAAUGUUCACCAGGUGUAUGAAAGAAAUAUCAUUACAUUGUGUCAAUUUCUGCAAUUGUGAGAUGACAAAGAGGGGAGAAAAAGAAGUACCAUUAUGGCCAGUCUGGCAGUUUCUCAGCCCAAGGGAGACGCCUGGAAGUAUCUCCAGGACAAAGCAUGCUGACCCAGGAGAAUUGUCCUAUUGACCAGUCUGCCCUACUGUACUAUUAAAGCUACUUAAAUGAGUUGUUUGGCUGCAUGUGCUGAGUCAGAAGGGACUGAAUUUUCUGUUGCAAAAAAAGUCUCUUUUGAAAUACUUCCAGGCACAAUAGCUUCAUUUGGCCUUAUGGAUGCCUGGUGAAGACUGAAAUGGCAAAAAUGUGUGAAUCAUUUGAUAUCUUCAUGUCCUUACCACAAAACAUUUUUUUUAAAACAAUGCUAUGUAUUUUGAAAUAGAUAUUUAUUGUAAAUUGUAACCAAAAGUGUGCUAAUUAGAGGUAAGAGGGCCCAUGUUUGAACAUUACAAGGUCUGUUUUACAUGAACUCACUAUUUGUCUACUCUCCCAUACUCCGCAGUCUUUCACAGAUGAAACCUGAGACACAUGUAGGUCAAGCAAUAUCACAAUGUAGUCAAGAUGGUGAAGGUUACAAAUGAGGAAGAAUACUCAAGCUAGGAGAGGUUGCAGAAGUUUGCAUUUGUCUUUGCCUACUGGGAAGGGCAGGAUUCAACCCCUUUCUCUCCUCUCCUCCUCUGCUGUACUAAUUGGGUUCAACCUACUGCAUUACUUUGCAUUUAGUGUGCAACAACUGAGUUAAAGGGGAAAGUGAAAGAAGGACAGAGCAAAUGGGACAUUUUUGAAGCAGCUGAAAAAGUGAAAAGAGAAAGGAUUAUUGGGACUGUCCCUGCCAAAUCAGAACAAUUGGAGUGCUCUAUAUUGCUUUUCCAUCAGAAUAAACAAUAUUGCCAAUGAAAGCAAGAAGAAGGAUCAUCACCAGAUCUUAAAUGAGUUAGUUUUUGGACUACUGAGUCCCUUAAUUCCCUGACCAUCCUGUCUGUACGAUUCUGGGAGUUAUAGUUUUUUAAAAGGGUACAUUUUCCAAGGUCUGGUUAUUAUUCAGUGAGAGGUCACAUGCUUUUCAUAUUUGUGAAGCCAAACUCUAAUCCUGGU